CCUUCGAGCUUCUACGCUCUUCUUCCUCUCACUCGCGAAUGAACGGCGCGGCGGUGAUCGGAAAGCUCCCUCACCUCCGAGCAAGAUCUUCAAUCGCAAUCGGAGAAACGGUGUUUUCGCUCAGCUCACUUCUCAACUCUCGUUCCAAACCUCUCCGUCUCUCUCGCGGGUUCUCUCACUCUUCGCUCCGCCCUCGCCUCUCUCCGAUUCAAUCCUUUGCUCUGUUCUUGAGGAUUCUUGUUGUAUCAAAGGUUAUGGCAGUGAAACAAAUUGUUAUGUGAAGCGAAGAUUGAUACGAUGCGUAUUAUUGUUGAGGACGUAUGAAGAUGCAUCGGAGAUUGACGCAGAACGUUGAACUGUCGCGUGGGAAUUCUACAGUGAAGAUGAAGAUUCGUUCUGGUGAUGAUUCUUGUGACGUUGAUGAUUUUCUGAGGAGAUUCUGAAAGAACUCGAGAGAGUGAAGAAUCACGAUAAAGUUUGUUACAUUAUGAGAUUCAGAGUUGAUGAAGAUGAUGAUUUGUAGCGAAGAUUGAAGGGUACGAUGGUGAAGAUGAUUGAAGAAGAGAGAGAGUGAGAAUGGUGCGUCUUGAUUGUGGGCGUGUGAAGGAAGAGAAUGGCGUGUGGAAGAGGUGAAGGAUAACGAUGAGUGAGAGCCUGAAAAUGUGAGAAGAGGCUCUGCUAUAUAGAGUUUGAAAAAAGGUUUCAGUGUAGGUUUAUUCUGGGUUUGUGAUAGGAUGCUCGACUGUAUUUAAUGUGUAUGCAUGGUUCAAUUUGCAACAACCGGUUUGUGUGGUGUGGAUAUUACAAGUCUGAGUCGGUUCAGCUGCUCUGGUUUUAUGCAGGUUCUGUUAAAUUGGUUUGGACACGAGGACAUGAAUGGAAACAAUGGUUAUGGGCAGAAAUCAUGGACGAUGAUGAAGAUUAGGUUGAGAGUUUAGGGAAUAGUGUUGAGUCUAGGCCCAAGUCAGGGUCUCUGGUCAACAAUUGACCAGAAUGUCAACUGUUACCUUUUGUGUAAUUCUCAAUGAUUCCAAUUCUGAAUUUUUGUAAUGAUUUCUUUUCCUUGUAAGAUUCUUUUUUGUUAUAAACUUUGGGGGUUAUGUCUUGUUUUACAAAAUGGAUGUUCUUCAUGUAAUGAUACAGUGAGUGAUGUAAUGUGAUGAAUGCUACUGUUGGUCCCCGUUUUUUCUUUAAUAAUUCAGUUUGUUGUAUGGUUUUCUUUGUAACGGUAUGGAUGUAUCAAAUAUGUAUUAAACACGGGAAUGGGGUAAUGGAUGGAUGUUGUAAUGAAGUUCCUUUCUCUCUAAUGAAUGUAACUCUUAUUCUCUUC